rnacentral:rRNA from 1 species
UUUGCAUUGGAUUGAGAACAACGUACAAACCUUAUCGAUAAACAAUUGGAGGGCAAGUCUGGUGCCAGCAGCCGCGGUAAUUCCAGCUCCAAUAGCGUAUAUUAACGUUGUUGCAGUUAAAAAGCUCGUAGUUGAAAUGAAGGGUAGUUGUGUAAUGAAUACAUUCGUGUAUUUUGUUAUUCUACUACCCUCCUUCUAAAUUCGAUAUAUGAGUAUUAAUUUACUUGUAUAUGGUUUUAGACCUUUACUGUGAGAAAAUUAGAGUGUUCAAAGCAGGCAUUUGCUUGAAUAUAUUAGCAUGGAAUAAUCAUGUAUGAUUUUCAUGAUGUAUUUGAUUGGUUUGGUUCAUGAGAAUAAGAUUAAAAGGGACAGUUGGGGGUAUUCAUAUUCAAUAGUCAGAGGUGAAAUUCUCGGAUUUAUGGAAGAUGAACAAGUGCGAAAGCAUUUACCAAGGAUGUUUUCAUUAAUCAAGAACGAAAGUUAGGGGAUCGAAGAGGAUUAGAUACCCUCGUAGUCUUAAA